AUCCUCUGAUUUACAGUUAAAACUUUCAUGAAUUAAUUGUUAACUUUUCAGUUAAUCAAUUUUUCUGAUUCUUUGUUUACUUUUUUCAAGUUACUAUAUUUGUGAAUUUUUAUCAUCUCAAGUAUCAUUAACAUCAUGUAAUUGUUUUUGAUUUUUUUCUCUGUGUUAAUUUAAUUACUUCAGUUUUUCUCUUGUGUUAGUGAGUUUCUCUCUCUCUCUCUCUCUCCUUGGUAAUAAAUUGUCAUCAAAAUACGUGAAUUGGAUAUUAUUUAUAUAUAAAAGUCUUUAUGAUGGAUUUUCUUGUUCGAAAAUAGUGAAAAGUUUAUUUCUCCUUUGCCAGCUUAUCCAUCAGAUCUGGAGAGUUGCUCUCUCUCUCUCUCCUAUUCUCUGCUGCUUGUGUGAUAAUAUUUCCUACCAAAACCCUGGAUAGUUGAUUAUACAUUUCGGUGUAUAUACUUAUAUUCAUAUAUACUCAUGGAUACACAGAUUCAUUCACAUAAGGAUAUAUAUUACACCAUGAGAAGCAUAUUACUCAAAAGAUUCAAGGAACAAUUGUCAAACUUUAGUUCCCUUGACUGUUAACCCAAUUCAAUUCUUGGUAGUGGAGAAAAGAAGAGUAAGAAAAAGGAAAAAAAAGAGAAGACGAAAACGAAUAAGGAAUAGAAAAAAGAGAAAAGAAAAGAAAAAGAUUCAUUGGAAAUCGGUUGUUCCAAUGACGAAAAUGAAUACAAAGAAAUUGGUGCUAUUGGUUACACAGCGAAAUUGAAACUUAUGCGUGUAUCAUGAUGAUGAUAGAGAAGACAUGACAGUAAAGCUAAUGGAUAAAUGAGCGUAAUUUACGUGGAACAUGGAACAGGAAAAACACACACAAAGAAGAAAAUUGGAAUAAGAAAUUUAACUUCCCCAAUCUAUUAAACGACCGACACACAAAUAAUAAGGAGAAAAAGAAGAAAAAAAACUCGAGAAUAAUAAAGAACUAAUAUUUCAACCUGAUUCUUGGUUCUUUACCUUAGAGUAUCAUCACCAUUAUCAUGAUAUCUUCCUGUUGUCUUCUCAAUCUCCUAUUACUGGAUUUCCUCUCUCUUUCUCUCUCUUGCUCUCUUAUUGACUAAAUAUUCAUCACAAAUUCCUGGUCUUUUUUUCCCUCUAAAAAACAUCAACAUGGAAAGAGGAUAUUACACUUUUAUCAUCAUCUUUUACAAUCGAUCAGAACCAAAGGUCUACUAAAGCAAUUGGAAAUCAACAUCACACACACACACAACUAAUAUAAUCGAUUAUUGAUUACACUUUACAUAUAAGCAUAAGUAUUAUGUGUAUAUUUGAUUCUCUUGGUAAGAGACAGUCUGACAAGUUCGAAAGACCUUUCAAAAGAGAAGAGAAAAAAACUUCGCCAUAGAAUAGGGAAGAUUGAUUAUUGGUUCUGUUGUUGAUACGAGUUUAUCUCUUUUUUUCCUCUUCCUCCCUGUUAUCUAACUGUUCAUCAUGAUGGAAUAAAAAAAGCCCACGAAUCACAUUGGUUAUCAGGUUAUCCAAAUAAUCUUACACUUUUUUUAUAUAUCAUUUAACUUCUUACACACACUCUCUCUCUCUCUCUCUCUCUCUCUCUCUCUCUCUCAUCUUCACCCUCUUUGCCUACUAUUAUUUUCAACAGUUUCAUUCAUUUAAUUUGCUUCUUUAUCUUCUCUCUUUUUCUCUUCUUAGAUUAACAUUCUUUGUAUUAUUAUCUUACUACCACUAUUAUCCUUAACAGGUCAACUUAAUUGCUGGUCAACUUGGUCAUUUGGUGAUUUAUUAUUAUUCCUACAACAACAACAUGGUUGGAACAACAAUAACAACAGAUAAAAAAGGAAAACUGUACUUGAAGAUUCAUGAAAGAUACAAAGGAAUAGUCUUAUUAUUCACACUAUGAUUAUCAUGAUGGUGAAAACCCUGAUAAUUUGGUCAUAUAAUUAUAUGAGUCGUUUAAACAUUGGAUUGAAUAUUUACUAUUGAAUUGGAUAAUUGUGAUGAUCAAUUAACCGACCAUCAUUGGAAAACCAAUUUAAUUGAGUAAAAAAUCAAUCAUUUCUCAUUCAAGAUCUUAACGCCAUCUCUUGUAAACAAUCAGCGCUUUCUCAUCACAUGUAAAGAUUAUAUAAAACUGUGAAUGAGAAGACUUGAUUCCAUUGAAUAGAUGGCGAUGAUUAUGAUUAGGAUGAAGCUUUUGGAUGAUGAUGAUCACUCAUCUUUCUCACUGUAUGUGGUUGUCAUGUCUAAAUGCAAAUAUUGUUACAAUAACAACAAUCAACGCCAAGAGUAAACUGUUAAUAUUGUAAAUUUGAUUCUGUUCAACAACAACAACAAAUGUAUAAUAUAAUUUUCCCUGUUAAUAUCUAAGGUGGUGAUAUGAUUUUUGAGAAUCCAGAUGAUUCAUAAUAAUAACAAUAUAAUAUUGUAAAAGAAAUUGGAAAUUUCCAACAAGACCAAAUAGUGAGACUUAUAUAUAAUAAUGUAAACAUCAUUGGAAGAUGAUAUUGGAUGAGGAUGGAGAAGGUUCCAUGUAAUGUGACGAUGAUGGAAGACAAGUGAAGAAAAGUCAACUGUUUUUGAUUCGAAUUGUGAAUUUUUCUAAAUCAAGAGGAUGGAAAAGAAUCAAAGAAAUUGAAUGGACUCCUCCUAGGAUAAAGAUGAGAUGCAAAAGAAUUACAAAGAGGAUGGAAAGAGAAGAAAAAAAUGGAUGAAUAAGAAGAGAAAUAUUGUUCAUAUUCCAUGGAAUCAAAUCAACAACAACAACAGGAACCCAAAGAACAAGAAGAUUGUUCAGAAUAAGAAAAUAGAGAAGAAGAAGAAGAAAAAAAUGAGAGGAAAUCUCUUUUUUCUUCAUCAUCUUCCUUCGCCUUCUUAGGUUCAUUAUAUUUAUCAUAACUUGUCAUCUCCAUUUUGUUUGGAAGACGUAAAAGAUGAGGAAACAAACAUCAGAAUCAUCAUCAUCCAGAAAGAGGGAGAGAAAAAGAAUCAACCAUAAACAACUUUCUUUCUCUUUUUUUAUUAUUAUUUUUUUACGUUUUUUGGCAAAAAAAGAGAUGAGGAUGGAACGAAGAUGACAAAGAGGUGUAAGAUAACUACCACCACCACCACGACUGAUGAUGAAGAGGAGGAGGAGGAGAAAAAGAAGAUAAAGAAGAGGGUGGAAGGAGAUUCUGCAUUCUCCUCAUCUCCUCAUCUCUCUCUCUCUCUCUCUGUCUCUCUCUCGUCAUCAUCAUCGUUAAACUUUUUUGAAUGUACAUUAUUUUAUGUGUAUUUUUGGUCCUUAGAGUCUUGACCUUGAUCGAGGUGAAGUUUAACUUUUCCUUUCCUGAUGAUUUUAGCAUCGAUAACAAAGACCAUUCAAUAAUAUGUAUACAAAGUUUCACUCAUCCAAUUUUACGCUCAUCAUCUUUAUCAUAGACUCAUCAUCAUUCUCAUCAUCAUCUUCUUCCUCUCUUCUGCUUUAUCCUCCUUUCUCAAAGUCAUCAUUGUCAUAAUAAUGCCCUCUUUAUGUGUCCUCUCAACCUUUUCUGUGGUUGACAUUUGCCUUUAUCUCUCUCUCUCUCUCUCUCUCUCUCUAUCCUCAUCCUCAUCCUCUGGAUAAAUAUAUUGCAAGUUAAAUUGUUCAACCUCCCAAAGGUAAUCGAGACAAAAAUCCCAUCUAAAUCAAACAACAAUUUGAUUAGAUGAAAUAUUUGAUACGAUAAUUAUGAUUAGUUGAUUAAAAAAUCAAUAACCAAAUCGUAAAUGAUAUUGAAUGAUGAACAUAAUGGUGAUAAUAACAAUUAAAUGAAAUUGUUAUGAUGAUUAUUGUGAUAAUAAAUCUGAUUUAUCAGU